rnacentral:rRNA from 1 species
AUUGAACGCUGGCGGCAGGCCUAACACAUGCAAGUCGAGCGGAUGAGGGGAGCUUGCUCCCUGAUUUAGCGGCGGACGGGUGAGUAAUGCCUAGGAAUCUGCCUGGUAGUGGGGGAUAACGUUCCGAAAGGAACGCUAAUACCGCAUACGUCCUACGGGAGAAAGCAGGGGACCUUCGGGCCUUGCGCUAUCAGAUGAGCCUAGGUCGGAUUAGCUAGUUGGUGAGGUAAUGGCUCACCAAGGCGACGAUCCGUAACUGGUCUGAGAGGAUGAUCAGUCACACUGGAACUGAGACACGGUCCAGACUCCUACGGGAGGCAGCAGUGGGGAAUAUUGGACAAUGGGCGAAAGCCUGAUCCAGCCAUGCCGCGUGUGUGAAGAAGGUCUUCGGAUUGUAAAGCACUUUAAGUUGGGAGGAAGGGCUGCUGGUUAAUACCCUGCAGUUUUGACGUUACCAACAGAAUAAGCACCGGCUAACUUCGU